rnacentral:rRNA from 1 species
GAUGAACGCUGGCGGCGUGCCUAAUACAUGCAAGUCGAGCGAACAGACGAGGAGCUUGCUCCUCUGACGUUAGCGGCGGACGGGUGAGUAACACGUGGAUAACCUACCUAUAAGACUGGGAUAACUUCGGGAAACCGGAGCUAAUACCGGAUAACAUGUUGAACCGCAUGGUUCAACAGUGAAAGACGGUCUUGCUGUCGCUUAUAGAUGGAUCCGCGCCGCAUUAGCUAGUUGGUAAGGUAACGGCUUACCAAGGCAACGAUGCGUAGCCCACCUGAGAGGGGGGAUGCGCCACCGUGAAAGGGAAACAGGGCCAAAACCCCAAGGGGGGGGCAGAGUGGGAAAUUUUCCGAAAGGGGCAAAAGCCAGAGGGAGAAGCCCCGCGGGGGGAAAAGGUUUUUUGGGAGUAAAAACCUUUUUUUUUAGGAAAAAAAAAAUGGGUAGGUAACGUUGACCGUUUGACGGGACCCAAACAAAAAGGCACGGCUAAAUUAGGG